rnacentral:rRNA from 1 species
UUUCUCCUACGGGGGGCAGCAGUGGGGAAUAUUGGGCAAUGGGCGCAAGCCUGACCCAGCAACGCCGCGUGAAGGAAGAAGGCUUUCGGGUUGUAAACUUCCUUUCUCAGGGACGAAGAAAGUGACGGUACCUGAGGAAUAAGCCACGGCUAACUACGUGCCAGCAGCCGCGGUAAUACGUAGGUGGCAAGCGUUAUCCGGAUUUAUUGGGUGUAAAGGGCGUGUAGGCGGGAACGCAAGUCGGA